GGGCGUGUCCGCCAUGAUGGCUACCGAGGCGGAAGUGAGUGCGGUGACAGCGUUGUUGCCUGUGUAGGAAUGGUGACCUCUUUCUGCUCCUCCUCAGAGCGGGGCCGGGCGAGUCCCGCUCGGAACAGGGAGCUUGGGGCGCCCGUCCUGCGGACCCGCGGUUGCCCUGGAGAAGGGACUUGCCCUGAGGUGCUACCAGGCCGUGGUCCUGUGCUGCUCCUGCCUGGGAAGGGCCCCCUCGGCGGGCUGUGGAGGCCGCGGGGCUCGGCCUGGUGCCGUGAGGGGAAGCCGGGGCAGAGGCAGGCCGAGAGGGAGGGCCGCACUACAACCAUAGCUGUAACCUGCUGGGAUGCAUCUUCUUAUCAAACUUCGGCAAAUCCACAUGCGGGCAUGUGAAGCAAAAGGCUCUUCGAUGUAUCUACAGGUUAACACGGCCUUUUCCUGAGCGUGCAAUUUAGAAGAGAGCCCACAAGAGGUCCCCAAAGACAUUUUUUUCCAGAGAGCUAUAGCAACAAUGUAAAUCACACCAUUUGGGUCAGGGAGUUGUCAGAGAAAGCGCUGGGAAGAAGGGGGCCCUUGGCAUACAAAGAAAGCAAUUAUUUUAAGCAGUUUGUCAUGAAUGUAAAGCUUUACUAAGAAGUCAGGUAAAUAGUAAUAAUAAUCACAGUGUCGUUUCCUAAGACCUACACCUGUCAGUAACCAAGUAAUGACCGCUGCAUUUUCUUGUCUGCAAGCCUUGGUGCGCACCCUGUGAAAUGGGUUUAUGAUUGAUUCCAGUACAGGCAGUUUAAACACAAGAUCAAACCUCGCAGAGGAGCCUGGCUUCCCAGCCGGGUAGUUGGGAAUUUGGUAUUGUUGGGCUGCAGGUCACAGUAGCCUGAAAUCAGCACGUCACCUUGUGAUGGUGGGUGUUAUUCAUAGAUUGUAAAUCUGUGGACUUUAAAUCAGGAGGAGCUACUAUGCUCAUUUAACUGUCUUGGUGCAGCAGAAUGUUGUAGUUUGCUCAGUAACACGUCCUGAGGGCAGUGCCUGCUGUUCAGUUUUACCGUCUGUCUGGCGAAAGGUAUCAAGUCCUGAUUAAAGAAUUAAAAAACUGAA